GCAAUGGUGGUUCAGUAGUAGAAUUCUCGCCUUCCACGCAGAAGACCUGGAUUCAAUUCCUGGCCAGUGCA
rnacentral:tRNA from 1 species